AGGUGCGAUCAUACUAGCGUUAAUGCACCGGAUCCCAUCAGAACUCCGCAGUUAAGCGCGCUUGUGCUAGAGUAGAACUGGGAUGGGUGACCUCCCAGGAAGUCCUAGUGUUGCAUCCU
rnacentral:rRNA from 1 species